ACCCGAAACCGCUUACAGAUAUGAAGACAUUGGUUGUGUUGGGGCCCUGACACCACCUGCCCCACAGUCAGUUUAGAAGUUCAGAAUGACAGGCCCUGGCGAUUGAAGAGAUUUCCAAGGAUUUUCCAUCAUUCCGUUUUAGUUUUCCAGACUCUUGGUGCAGGGAAAAAUUUCACUAUAUGCUUCUUUAAUGUGGGUGUCUUCCAAACCCUGUCAGCAGUCUACAUAUCCCCAGGCUUCGUCCCUCAUUAGGCUCCAAGGACACUGGGAGAAAGCUUGGAACACAGAGACCUGGCUGUGGAGGCUGAAAGAAGCUGAGGAGAAGGGCGAUCCUGUAGGAGGACCAGCAGUCUCAAUUAAUCUGGACUCCCGAGAUCUCUCAAACACUGGACCACCAAACAGGCAGCAUACACCAGCUGAUAUGAGGCCCCCAAGACACAUACAGCAGAGGAUUGCCAGCUUCCUCCUGAUGAACUGUGCCUGCCUGUGGCUCUUCUGAAGUCCAUCAACAUCUGCAUCAAAGUUUGAAAAUGCAACUGCUUUUAGGUAAUUUGAUAAAUCGUCUGAAGGCAUUUUCAUAUGUGUGUACUCUGCUUCUGCAUUCUAUUUCUAAGAUCCUUUAGGGGAAAAUCUAUAUCUUUUUUUUUCCCUUUAUAACCGUCUCUGCACGAUUCUUAGGACAGUGUUUUCAUCAGCGUGCUUAUUGUCUGAACACGCUCUUUCUUUGUAGGCUGAGAACCCUUGGAGGCUGACUUUAUUUCAUUCAUUAAUUUAUUUAAAAUAUUUACUGAGGCCUAUUAUGUGGCAGGCACUGGCUAAGUGCUCAGGGUUCAGUGUUGAAACUCACAGUCUGGGGCAAAGAAGGAAACAUACACAAAUAACUGUAAUACAAUGUGAUAAGUGCUGUAAUAUAGGUACCGUGAGCUCGGAGUGCUCUGGAAACCCAGGAGGGAGCUUAUGAAAUAAUUUCCUUACUGUUCCAAUGUCUAAAUAUGAAUGUUUAAGUAAACACCUUUCCUUUGGAAAUGCUUGCAGCUUUUGUGAUUUUUCUCAGGUCUAUUAUCUCAUUCGAUGCCUCUAACAACCCCUUUAAUAAGCUUUUGUUCCAUCAACUCACCUCGACGCAGAGUAGGGACCCAAGCAGGAGCUAUGGAAAGAAAGAGUAAGGGAACUGGGGAAUCAACAUUAUUCACUCCUGUUUGCAAUUAGAUAAAUUAAAUGUCACAAAGUGAUUUGCUGAAGGUCAUAAACAUGUUAACAGGUAGUCAGGGUAAACACUGCUUCAAUGCCUGUAAUAUAAGGGUUUCUCCGCUAUGCUGUAAAUAAGCUUAAAACACAUUUUUCUCCCCACCCCUGGAUGUCUGAUCUCACUGGUAAAAUUGGAUACAUAGCUCAAGUAUGACAUCGAAGAUGGAGAAUGGCUCACAAAGGAGACAAGGUAGACUGUGGCCAACCAUUGACUCAAUGGCACAGGUAGGAAGGACCUCUGGAAUUGGAGACGUCACUGUAGACCAGUGUCAUUGGGAAAGAUGCGUGGAAGUGAAAGAACACAAGAAGGAAGAUAAGAGGCAGCGCACAAAAGUUACACUCCAAAGAAAUGAAAUUCACUAACCUGCUGUCCUACUGUGCACUUUUCCAGGACCACACCCAUUGGAUCCAGGCAUUCAAUCUGUCCUUAGUGUUCUUUAAUUAAUUAAUUAAUUAAUUAAUUAAUUAAAAAUUCACUUUACAUUCCCAUUACAGCCCUCUCCAUUCUCUCUUCCCAAUCUCACCCCCACAAGUACCUCCUCUCAUUGGCCUCUUCCCCUCCUCCUCAGAGAAGGGGCUCCCUCUUGGGUACUGCCCCACCCAUCUAGUCCUGUCCUUAGUAUUCUAAUUGAACCCCAAUUACAUCCAGGUCAACAAGUCCUUGAUGUCCUCUCAGGGGAAGGGUCUUCUUCGCUCAACUUGUGUCACCUAGACAAGUUAUGCAUGUGAGGAUGACUUUAUGCUAGUUUCCCAUUUCUGCCUCACGACCACUCUUCUCCCUUCCACAGAGAAACACUUCAUUAUGAGGAGAGGCUCACAGCAUCUCUAUCUCACAGCCAGUUCCUCUGAAUUGAAACAUUCCCUCCUGGAGGCUGGAGGGAAGCUCAUGUAAGUUCCCAGGCUUAGGAAGCUCAGAAAGGCAUAAUAAUCACGUGGUCUUGCCUUCAUGUUACAUAAGCAGUGAACAGUUGCCAGGAAAAGGGGACUCUUAUUUGCCCACUGCCUUCAAGUUGUGUAGGGAGUUCCAGGGGUGCAGCUAUUACAAUAUCGUGCUCCUGUAAGUAACCCCAAUAAAGUCAUUGGUUCACCAAGU
rnacentral:lncRNA from 1 species